UAUAAGAUUCUUUCACUGGUUGUAGGUUCAGAUGGGAAUAUCCGGCCUCGAGGGUAACUGUUUAGGCGGUAACGAGGCUUCUUGCCGAGUUACCGUCUAAACAGUUACCCGAGAGCCGGAUAUUCCCAUCUGCACCUAUAACCAGUGACAGAAUCUUUUUCUUGCAUACCGAUUUCAAGAAAUAAUAAUAAAAAUAAAAUCAAUCGAACGGCUUUCUUUUUAGAACUAUUUCAAAUGGCAGUGUAUUUAAACAAAGCGCGGGAAACCAACGUCCGUAAACAGGAAAGACGUCAUGACGUUUCAUAACAAAUAACAAUGUUUAGUUCCGGUUUUGUUUUAUCAGUUGCAGCGUAACGUUUUGAGUUUUUGAUAAAAUAACGUGAUUUGAAUCGAGAAAUAUACUAUCAGGAACCAAUAGGAAUUGUCAAGAUGGUUGUCCUUCAAUGAAAUUCUAUUAUUGGGAAAAACUUUCGCCCAUCUCGUAUAUAUGCAGGGAAUUCUAGCUUACGCAACUUAAACAAAAGUUUCAACAACAUUUCGUUCAUCGUCCAAGUCAUUGCAUGACGUCACAGGUUCUUCUUCGGAGAUAAUACAAAAAAAAGUUUCAAGAACAGACAUUCGCAACAAGUUUCUUGCAAAACGGCAUUUCAACGUUGUAAACCAACAGAUGAGAACCAAUGGCGAACUGAAAGACAAAGUUUGAUGACAGCGUAUCACGUAUGAUAGGUCCAAAAGAAGAACCAGUCAUAGAUGACCCAUACAGCCAGGUAGACCAACGGCAUUUGCCUGAAAAGCCAAACAUUAAAGUUGGUGAGCCGCCCCUGGUAAAUCCGUGCUCUUAUGGCUCAGUGAGGAAAGGUUUCGAGCAUAUAUCUGAGCAAACUGGCAUUGGUUCCAGAAGGAAAUGGACUAUGGUAGGAUGCGACAAAUUGUCGUAUUGUUUGGGGUCCCGAUUAAUUGAUCUCAUCCGAAACUCAGAAGUACCUUUUUAAUUCCUGGUCAAGGCCACAUGGAGAUGAAUGCUGUGAAAGCUGCAUUUAAGCUGUUAUGGGAUGUCGCUAUGGAAGAUGUUGCAAAAAUGCUAUGGGUACCAUACACCAAGAGCACUGUUAUGCUGUCAGCUAUGCAGAGAUCACAAGGCUUGGAUGAUUUUGUGUAUCUGCAUGUUCGGUACCCUAGAUGAAAUUCUUACCACAUAUAUCAAGAGCAAUUCUCAUAAUACACCUACAGUAACAGGACUAUUUCAGUUUAAAGCCUUCUCUUCUAACAAAAACUUCAGAUUCAUUUGUGACAUACGGUGGCACAGAGAUGUUAAGUGGUGUAGAUAACUAUAGACAUACAUCAGUGUCAGGCAAAGAACUGGACAGAGGGUUAAUAGCGUUUGAGACACAGUGUUGUGACAACUUGAAUACAUAUUUGACAAUAUUAGUAGUGGUACUUCUCCAUCAAAGCGAUGCAGCCUCACACAUGUUUUGGUACAAUUGAACAAAGGAGCAAAUUUCAUGCAGUUGAAAACCAAACAAAACGGCGAAAUACAAGAAAUUAUAGACGGUAUGCUUCGGAACAUUAGAGAAAAUGGUAGUGUUGAAGAGGCCCUUGUUUUGGAACAGUAGUGGCAAAAAGUAAAAGGACAAACGAAGAAUAGUUAACUUUACAAUUCUACAAUGAGGUUGUGAUAGUUCUAUAAAAUUCUACCACUGUAGCGUCAAGUGACGGUGAGUGUAUAUUUCUUACUUUUUUCAUUAUAGUGGGCCUUCUUUUGUUUAUAGCCUGCGCUCAUCAAAUUGUCAACAAUGUACGAAGUGUUUGUUCCUCCAGUGUGGUGUUCUUUAGCCCGGCAUACCUGACCUACAACAUUAUUUCCAGGAUUCGGUCCUGUUACUUCACUUUGAAAUUUGAUAGUAGGAAAUGAAAUAUUUUCGAACUACAUUCUCUAUAUCUUAUCUACAUGUUUUAUAACUUAUCUUUUAUUUUUAUCUUAAUAGACUCAGAUAUUGAUGAAGAAGAGUAAAUGGACAUGAACAUGUAACAAUUGAAGAAUGGCAAUGUCAAUCACCAUCUUCUUAAAGAAGUUUACAAAGGUUUUCUGAAUACUUUGUAUUGAAUACACGUCCUGUAACGAGUAUAAAAGUCACCUGACCGGAUGUAAACAAUUGAUAUAUUAUUUUUUUAAAUGUAUCAAUAAUUCAGAUAUUUUCACAUGAAUACAUAAAAAUAUACGUAACAUUCAAAAUGGGCAUACCCUGUACGUUAAUUAAUUAAAACAGAAGAUUUUGUUAAAACGAUAUGUUUAUUAUGAGUGUAACCAACCGGAAAUGCGGAUACAGACGAUACGAUUUUAACAUUUCAGGAAAUCAAUCAUAUUUGCUGCUGUAGUAGCCUUUAUACACGGGUAAUAAUGAAUAUUUUUCAAAAUAUUUUUUCCUACCUAAAAUGCGCAUUAUGUAACAGCAUAUUGAUUUGUAAAGCAUGUACAUUUCGAAAGAGCAGAAACAAAUAAUCUUGUAUAGUGAGUAACUAGAUGCGGGUUUUCGGAUAAGUGUGGAAAGUGACAUAAAAUAUGGGCUUCUAUUGUUUGUUUUAUAGCUUGAUCGAGCUAUUAUAACUCGAAGGAACUUUAAUUAUAUAUCGUUUUGGAGUUCUCUCCAGUUAAACGGAAGUACACUACGGUUUAUCUGUAUAUAAAUUUAUUUCUUUAAAUACCAUUCGUCUCCCACGUUUUCUUCAUGUGGGUAAGUUGUAAAUUACUUGUAGAAAUUCGUGUAGACUAUUUAGGAAACUAUGAACACACAAUUUAUAUAUUUAAAUACAUUAUCAGAAAAACGAAGCAUUGAUUACUUAGGUUACUCACUCCCACACUGAAAACAAAUACGUAAAUGUAUUGCAUGGAAGGUGUUGAGGUGUAUUGGUAGAUAGUGAGACUCCUAAUCCAAAGGUCGUAGGUUCAGCCCGGUGAUAUAGCUGAUGUAAGUAAAAAUGUAUAUAUAACUAGUGUACAUACCAUUUAUCAAACAAAAACUGACACACAAUUGCUUGCCCAUACGUUUAACUUCAAGGGAUUAAAAGAUUUUUUUUCCGUAACAUAUGUUCUAAUUUUCUCCAUAACGUAAGUUCUUGAUCUAAUAAAGUCAGUUUAAAAACUACAGUGACAUUCUUGUCCAUGUCUAAUUUCUGGUCAUGUCCGUUUACUGGCUCAAAAACCACGUGUGUCCGUUUACUUGUCCUGUCAGUUUAUUGGUCCCAAAACACUGGCCCUGACAGUUUACUACUCAAAAACAGUGUCCGUUACUGGUCCUGACCGUUUACUGGUCCGCAAACACCGGGUGUCAGUUUACUGGUCCUGACUGUUUAUUGGCCCAAAAACGCCAGGUGUCCGUUUACUGGUCAGAAUAAAAGAAUGUCCGUUACUGGUCAUCUCCGUUUACUGGUCCGCAAACACCGGGUGUCAGUUUACUGGUCCUGUCUGUUUAUUUGUCCCAAAACACCAAGUGUCCGUUUACUGAUAAAAAACACAGAAUGUCCGUUAUUGUUCUUGCCCGUGUACUGACCCGAAACACCAGCUGUCAGUUAACUGGUUCUGACUAUUUACUGCUCCUGUCCGUUUAUUAGUCCGAAAACAUCUGGCGUACCAAGUAAAUAAUGCAUAAUAUAGUUCUGUUGUAUUUGUCAAUAACUACAGAAAAAUCUAAAAGCAUUUGUUGAUUCACGACAGGUUGGGUAAGAAUUUUCAAGAGUUCAAGGGAUCAACCACUUCUGUCACUGAACUGAAUGGGCAAUGCAAGGAUCUUACACAUACUCCAACAAAAGAGGCGAUUUCUAAUUGUAACACGAUCGUUUAAUUUCGAGCCAGAAACCAGUUAUCGAAAUGGCGACAGAUUUGUUGUUUACCACAAUUUGCAGCUCCCGGAAAGAGAGCCCUGAACACAUCGAAUACCCAUCUUAUUGAAAACUUACGGAGCAGACAUCUGGGAGAUUGCAAUUUGAAUGUCCUUUGACCACUGUUGUAAACAGAAAGCUGUUGCAAUGCUCAAUUUUAUUAGCAAACUCUGACUAUUCUUUUGAUAGCUGGGCAACAGAUUGAAUUUGGAUUUUCUCUUCCAGUUGUUCAAAACAGCAUACAUGGAAUGAUUCAAGCUUUGUAAAUUGGAGACAAAUCCCCAAAAACGUUUUACAAGGAAACUAUAUCCACUUUACAAGACGAAAAUUCAACUUGUAUUUUAGGUCGUUCCGAAUCUUGUCAGAAAGUAAUCACAUUAUGUGGCAAGUCAGAAACCUGCAAACUAUGCACCGAUUCUUACAACCAAUAUAAGAGAGAUGCAGAUAAACUCGGCAAUUUCUAGUAGGUUUGACAAGAUAGGUAUAAUUGACUGAUCAUCAGCAUCAAAGGCUGCAACUGUAUGACAGCAACAAGAGUUCCUCCACAUUCAGCAACAUUGAUCAUUCAAUUCAGAUCUAAGCAGAAGAUGCUCUCGUUUCUCCAUCUAUUUAUCACAGUCAGGAAUCACAUACAGACAUGAAAAUUAUACUGAACGGUAAACUUACCGACGGCAAGGCUGGUAAAUUUAAAGUGUUGUUAGUCUCAAUUACGAAACUGCAGUAAAGAAGUAAUUGGACAUUUAUCAAAGGCGAUGGGAUCCAAAAAUCAGCAUUUGUUAAGGCAUACUUUUGAAAUCUCCCUAGUCAUACAAAAAUGUGAAGUUUUGGACUCCUAAUUGUACUACCAUCCACACAAUUCUUGCAAUAUCACAAAAAUAGUUAAACAACAGCCUUUAUGUAAUAUACAAAAUUUGGAUUGGAUGAAAAGUACAUAAUUGUAAAUAACUGGUGUCAAUGAUGUAAAACUGGU